rnacentral:misc_RNA from 1 species
GGAGGGAUCAUUAAAGGACUCGCAAGACUCCCUUAAACCCCUGUGAACUUACUACAAUACGUUGCUUCGGCGGGUGCUCCGGGUCUCCCGGGGCGCUACGCCCGCCGGCAGCCUGCCAAAUUCUGUUUCUUUGCGUUGGCAUCUCGAGUACAACAAAUAAGUUAAAACUUUCAACAACGGAUCUCUUGGUUCUGGCAUCGAUGAAGAACGCAGCGAAAUGCGAUAAGUAAUGCGAAUUGCAGAAUUCCGUGAGUCAUCGAAUCUUUGAACGCACAUUGCGCCCGCCAGUAUUCUGGCGGGCAUGCCUGUUCGAGCGUCAUUGCAACCCUCAGGCCCUGCCUGGCGUUGGAGGACUGCGCUGCAGCCUCCCAAAGCAAGCGGCGGCGGCGCCCCAAAACCGAACGCAGUAAUUUUCUCUCGUUCAGGGUGUGGGACGUUGUCCGGCCGGAAAACCCCCUUCUUUUAGUGGUUGACCUCGAAUCAGGUAGGAAUACCCGCUGAACUUAAGCAUAUCAAUAAGCGGAGGAAAAGAAACCAACAGGGAUUGCCCCAGUAACGGCGAGUGAAGCGGCAACAGCUCAAAUUUGAAAUCUGGCCUUCUGGUCCGAGUUGUAAUUUGCAGAGGAUGCUUCGGGUGAGGUGCCUUCCAAGUCCCCUGGAACGGGGCGCCGAAGAGGGUGAGAGCCCCGUACGGUUGGCGGCCGAGCCUGUGUGAAGCUCCUUCGACGAGUCGAGUAGUUUGGGAAUGCUGCUCUAAGCGGGAGGUAGACCCCUUCUAAAGCUAAAUAUUGGCCAGAGACCGAUAGCGCACAAGUAGAGUGAUCGAAAGAUGAAAAGCACUUUGAAAAGAGGGUUAAAUAGCACGUGAAAUUGUUGAAAGGGAAGCGCUUGUGACCAGACGUGCGCCGGGGUGUUCAGCGGGCGUUCUCGCCUGUGCACUCGCCUCGGCGCAGGCCAGCGUCGGUUCGAGCGGGGGGAUAAAGGCGUCUGGAAUGUGGCUCCCCCGGGAGUGUUAUAGCCAGGCGUGCCAUGCCCCCGCCCGGACCGAGGUACGCGUUCUGCAAGGACGCUGGCGUAAUGGUCCCCAGCGACCCGUCUUGAAACACGGACCAAGGAGUCGAGGUUUUGCGCGAGUGUUUGGGUGUCAAACCCGCACGCGUAAUGAAAGUGAACGUAGGUGGGAGCUUCGGCGCACCACCGACCGAUCCUGAUGUUUUCGGAUGGAUUUGAGUAAGAGCGUAGGGCCUCGGACCCGAAAGAUGGUGAACUAUGCUUGGAUAGGGUGAAGCCAGAGGAAACUCUGGUGGAGGCUCGCAGCGGUUCUGACGUGCAAAUCGAUCGUCAAAUCUGAGCAUGGGGGCGAAAGACUAAUCGAACCAUCUAGUAGCUGGUUACCGC